GCUGAGGGUUAUACAAGUUAAUUCAAAGCUAGAUUGAUAAUCAUAUAUUAUACAUAGUAAGCAAGUUAAAUUUCAGGAUUUUUUAUUUGCCAAGUUACUCAUUCUGCCUUUUUCAACUCAAAACUCCCGUCCUUCCGUUUUCAAAUUUAAUCCUAGUCCCCCUCUUUCCCUGAAAAAAAACCCUGGUACCUCCGUAGGGUAGUAAUAGGUACUCGUCCAACAGAUUUAAUUUGAAAAUAAAACAUAUUUGUUUUAGAGAAACUCCUAGCAGGAAAAAACCAUUGGUCAUCGGUGUCACUUUUUU
rnacentral:lncRNA from 1 species